GGUCAGUCUUGCACUGCGCCAUUGGCCGGUGUUGGGCUUGAUCAUCCGUAAGGGAAUCCUGUGCGGCCUUCAGUGGUCGGCUGGUGGAACUUACAAUUUACUGUGAAAAAAUUAGAGUGUUUCAGGCAGGCAAUCGCUUGGAUACUCCAGCAUGGAAUAAUGGAAUAGGACUUUGGUCUAUUUGUUGGUUUGAGAUCAAAGUA
rnacentral:rRNA from 1 species